GAUGAACGCUGGCGGCGUGCCUAAUACAUGCAAGUCGAGCGAACGGACGAGAAGCUUGCUUCUCUGAUGUUAGCGGCGGACGGGUGAGUAACACGUGGAUAACCUACCUAUAAGACUGGGAUAACUUCGGGAAACCGGAGCUAAUACCGGAUAAUAUUUUGAACCGCAUGGUUCAAAAGUGAAAGACGGUCUUGCUGUCACUUAUAGAUGGAUCCGCGCUGCAUUAGCUAGUUGGUAAGGUAACGGCUUACCAAGGCAACGAUGCAUAGCCGACCUGAGAGGGUGAUCGGCCACACUGGAACUGAGACACGGUCCAGACUCCUACGGGAGGCAGCAGUAGGGAAUCUUCCGCAAUGGGCGAAAGCCUGACGGAGCAACGCCGCGUGAGUGAUGAAGGUCUUCGGAUCGUAAAACUCUGUUAUUAGGGAAGAACAUAUGUGUAAGUAACUGUGCACAUCUUGACGGUACCUAAUCAGAAAGCCACGGCUAACUACGUGCCAGCAGCCGCGGUAAUACGUAGGUGGCAAGCGUUAUCCGGAAUUAUUGGGCGUAAAGCGCGCGUAGGCGGUUUUUUAAGUCUGAUGUGAAAGCCCACGGCUCAACCGUGGUGGGUCAUUGGAAACUGGAAAACUUGAGUGCAGAAGAGGAAAGUGGAAUUCCAUGUGUAGCGGUGAAAUGCGCAGAGAUAUGGAGGAACACCAGUGGCGAAGGCGACUUUCUGGUCUGUAACUGACGCUGAUGUGCGAAAGCGUGGGGAUCAAACAGGAUUAGAUACCCUGGUAGUCCACGCCGUAAACGAUGAGUGCUAAGUGUUAGGGGGUUUCCGCCCCUUAGUGCUGCAGCUAACGCAUUAAGCACUCCGCCUGGGGAGUACGACCGCAAGGUUGAAACUCAAAGGAAUUGACGGGGACCCGCACAAGCGGUGGAGCAUGUGGUUUAAUUCGAAGCAACGCGAAGAACCUUACCAAAUCUUGACAUCCUUUGACAACUCUAGAGAUAGAGCCUUCCCCUUCGGGGGACAAAGUGACAGGUGGUGCAUGGUUGUCGUCAGCUCGUGUCGUGAGAUGUUGGGUUAAGUCCCGCAACGAGCGCAACCCUUAAGCUUAGUUGCCAUCAUUAAGUUGGGCACUCUAAGUUGACUGCCGGUGACAAACCGGAGGAAGGUGGGGAUGACGUCAAAUCAUCAUGCCCCUUAUGAUUUGGGCUACACACGUGCUACAAUGGACAAUACAAAGGGCAGCGAAACCGCGAGGUCAAGCAAAUCCCAUAAAGUUGUUCUCAGUUCGGAUUGUAGUCUGCAACUCGACUACAUGAAGCUGGAAUCGCUAGUAAUCGUAGAUCAGCAUGCUACGGAGAAUACGUUCCCGGGUCU
rnacentral:rRNA from 1 species